GCUAGGAUAGCUCAGGUGGUUAGAAUGUGGUGCUGAUAAUGCCAAGGUUGCAUGUUCGAUUCCAGUAUGGGGCAGCU